AAACUGUGUGAGGGACUCGCCAGGGCCAUGGCAAAGCCACAGACUGCACACCGAGCAGAGAAACUAGCCAAGAGCCAGCUCUCUGUCCUCUUUUCCAGAGUAAAGGAAUUCUCAGCCCACAAAAUCCAACAUCAUCAACAACUUCAUGAAUCUUCUUGGCUAUUAAUGUAAUAAAGAGGGAAUCAAAAAGAGAAGGUCUCUGGAAGAACAGAGACCCAAGUUUCUCAGUUCAUAAAACCUCCGUAUUUAUUCUCCAGCGUGUUGCCGAAGGAAAUACCAAUCAAGUUAGCAAAACUGAGCAAAAUCAUUGACUGAUAAAACUCUGUAAAACUAAUACAUAUUAACUAUGACUCAUUGUUUAAGAUGCCUGGACUGGAAUGCAUUAUAUUUACUUAUGCGCCUUGUUCCCUUUUUCAAAAACUUCUCCAGUUUUAUGAUGUCUAGAGUCACACUGCUGGCUUCCUGAAAGGUCCAGCUAGUAGACGACACAAGGCCAGGUACUCAGCAAAACCGACAAAAAGCACAAAAGAGUGCAAGAGCAUACCCCGUGUCCUGAGCAGAUCUGGCUGUCGGUAGUGCCGGGGCAGGUGCUGAAGUUGAAGGCCUCGGUGGGGAGGCAGCGAUGGUCCAGGCACACCAUGUCCGGCCCGCACGGCGUCCCGUUCUCCACGUAGCCCAGGAUUUCCAAUUACCUGCAAUUGUAGACUUUUCCAUAGUGCAAGAUUGAUGUUGUGAUUUCACCAUCAAGUUCUCCAAGUCUGGGCACACUGGAUAUAUUGGAGCACAGAAGGGAUCAACUCGUCUUGGCACCCUACUCCCUCCAGGACUUCUUGCACAAAGGUCUACAGAAGAAGGCCAGAAAUCUGAUCCAUAGGAGGCUUUCUGAGUCUCUUCAUGCCAGCUUAAGAACUGCAUCAGGGAAAAGAAGAGGCCAUCCUGAUCUUCUCUCUAGGGAUGAAGAACACCGCAGAGCUCUACGUAUAAACACUGGUUAUUUUAAUCCCCCACUGUUGUUGCAGAACAGGAACUAUUAAUAAAUGUACUGCAUUCUGUACAGUUUGACA